rnacentral:rRNA from 1 species
UACGAAGGGGGCUAGCGUUGCUCGGAAUCACUGGGCGUAAAGCGCACGUAGGCGGGUUCUUAAGUCAGGGGUGAAAUCCUGGAGCUCAACUCCAGAACUGCCUUUGAUACUGGGAAUCUCGGAGUCCGGGGAGAGGUGAGUGGAACUGCGAGUGUAGAGGUGAAAUUCGUAGAUAUUCGCAAGAACACCAGUGGCGGAAGGCGGCUCACUGGGACG